rnacentral:lncRNA from 10 species
UCUCUCAGUCCCUAGUAGCCACUAUUCUACUUUCUGUCUCUAUAUAUUUGACUGUUUUAGGUAUCUUAUAACGCUGUCUGUUCUUACCUCCCUUGGCCCUCAGCUCCUCACUCAGAGGGGCUCCCAGAACAGUCAGGAUAAAGGCUUUGUUUGCUUUAUGAAAUCCCUGGGAAAAUCUUAAAAGGAGAAGUGCAAUAAAGAGCUAGGAAGGACAAGUGGAAUUCUUUAUUGUGAUGCUGUAAAACACCCCUCCAGCCUUGAGUAUUUCAGGCACGCCGAUACACUUCAUCCUCAGUGCCGACGUGUGCUGCGGGUGAAGUGUGGGCCUGAGCUCUGACUCCAGCAGUAGGCUCGGCUCACACUCAU